UAGGGAAUCUUCCGCAAUGGGCGAAAGCCUGACGGAGCAACGCCGCGUGAGUGAUGAAGGUCUUCGGAUCGUAAAACUCUGUUAUUAGGGAAGAACAAAUGUGUAAGUAACUAUGCACGUCUUGACGGUACCUAAUCAGAAAGCCACGGCUAACUACGUGCCAGCAGCCGCGGUAAUACGUAGGUGGCAAGCGUUAUCCGGAAUUAUUGGGCGUAAAGCGCGCGUAGGCGGUUUUUUAAGUCUGAUGUGAAAGCCUACGGCUCAACCGUGGAGGGUCAUUGGAAACUGGAAAACUUGAGUGCAGAAGAGGAAAGUGGAAUUCCAUGUGUAGCGGUGAAAUGCGCAGAGAUAUGGAGGAACACCAGUGGCGAAGGCGACUUUCUGGUCUGUAACUGACGCUGAUGUGCGAAAGCGUGGGGAUCAAACAGG
rnacentral:rRNA from 1 species